UGCCCACUCCCCUAGGGGAGCCAGCGGGGGUCCGGGUGCGAACCCGUGUGUGAGAGUGAAACUACCGGGUGUUUGUGUCUUUGUGCCCUUGUUUCUCAAGAUUGUCGUGAGAUUCGGAUGAGAGAAUGUACGGGAAAACUCUCUAAAUUGUAGAAUGCUAAGCAUAUUUAAGACGCUACUGCCAGUUUGUGUCUCUGUACCCGAGAUUAUGUAUUUAUAUGUUUCUUUAUAUCCACUUGUAUAUCUGUGUUCCUCUCUCUCUCUAGGUUUGUGUAUGAGCCCCUAUUUAAAAAAUCAUUGACUUGUCAGGGCCCGCCAGAGGCCCAGAGCGCCCCCGCAGCCCGCAGCCAGAGCUGCCGAGAUGUCUGUUCUUCCCGCCCACUCCUGCCACCCCCAACUCCCCUCCUACUCCCUUCCGUUGAGAACAAGGAAUUUCCAGCCUGUAGCAAAGGGAAAGAGGCAAAGACAAAGACGGAGACCAUGGGAAACUAUAGAAAAACAUAAAGAGACAGAUCAUACUAAGGAUGUUGGACUUCAUCCUGUGGUGUUACUGGAACCAUAAAGACUCUGGAAACAAAGACUCAUGGCAUGGUCAGAUCUGCACUUAGGAGCAGAGUGGAGGAAGGAUUUAUGGCUGCAAAAACAGUAGGAAGGUCAGCUUGAAAAAUACUGAAGGACCCUCUCAGUUGAAAGAUGGCAAGGCACUGGCAUGGGGGGAAAGAACAGAUUCAAAAUAUAGAAAAUAAGAUCGACAGGACUUGAUUGAUUGGCUGAGGGGUUGAGAGGAGAGAAUGAGGGUUUAGGGUGACUCUCAGGCUCCUAGCUUGGGUGACUGAGUAUGUGGAAUGGAGUGUUCCUUCUCAAAACUCUGGAAUAGCCUUCAUCAAAUAUUCGUGGCCUGCAAAUCCUUUAUCCACAAUUCCUAAAUUUAAAAAAAUUAUGAAAACCAAAAGCUUGACCGGGUACUGUGGUUUAUGCCCUUAAUCUCAGCACUUUGGGAGGCUGAGGUGGGUGGAUCACCUGAGGUCAGGAGUCCAAGACAAGCCGGCCAACAUAGCGAAACCCCGUCUCUACUAAAAAUACAAAAAUUACCUGGGCGUGGUGGCGCAUGCCUGUAAUCCCAGCUACUCGGGAGGUGGAGGCACGAGAAUCGCUUGAACCUGGGAAGCAGAAGUUGCAGUGAGCCGAGAUCGCGCCAUCGCACUCCAGCCUGGGUGACAGAGUGAGACUCGGUCUCAAAACAAAACAAAACAAAACAAAACAGAAGAAAACAAAAAUUAACUGGGCGUGGUGGCGGGCGCCUGUAAUCCCAGCUACUCGGGAGGUGGAGGCAUGAGAAUCGCUUGAACCUGGGAAGCAGAAGUUGCAGCAAGCUGAGAUCACGCCAUUGCACUCUGGCCUGGGCGAUAAAAGCAAAACUCCGUCUCAAAAACAAAAACAAAAUCUUUUUCAUAACAUAUUUGACAAUAAAACCUAAUCUGAACUGAAUUUAUUUUGUGGCAGAACCUGACCUAAACUUACAUAAGGUUAUUUAUAGUUUUCACUUUUCCAUCUUUCACUUACCACAGUAUGAAGUCAUAUGUGUCAUUCCAGAAAUAUUAAUUUGUUUGAUUACUGGGUGCUGUCCUGAUGCAUUGGGAUUGUUGCUUUAUAUUUUGUAUAUGCACCAUACUAUCUUUCAAAAAUCCAAAAAAUUUUGAAACACAUUAACCAUCCAGAUUUCCCACCCCAUUUACUCAUCAGUGUUGGCCUGAGUUCUUUUGGCUAUUUGCAUAAAUCCAAUCCACCUGCAGAUAAUGAAUAUUCAUUGCAUUGUGUGUUAUAGACUCUGAA
rnacentral:lncRNA from 1 species